GCGCCGUGGCUGACGAGGGCCGAGUGGGCGAGAGAGCGAUCGGAGAUGAAGAUGGAUGUGCGAGAGCCGACGUGGAGAGUGACGAUGGGGCCGUACUUGGCGUGGAGCUCGCGGAGGAGGGGCUCGAUUUCUUGAAAUGAGCGGCGGAGCCAGAGGGGGUUGCCGACGAUGGGGAUGGAUAGAGGGCCGGGAGGGAGGCGGCGGUUUUUGGGUCCGGCGAGGCGGAGGAGGGCG
rnacentral:misc_RNA from 1 species